rnacentral:sRNA from 1 species
UUUUAGAACACAGGAGUUUUAGAGAGUUUCCCAAUUUAAGAUCCACAAUCAAUCCAUUAGACUGAACCGUAAUAGCUGACUGAAAACCAGAAGGGCAGGAGGAUGGUGCUUCAGUAGUCACAGAUCGAAGAAUGAUGGUCUCGUCUUUCGGUUGUCUCAAUCACGAAACCAAACAUUAGAAGUCUAAACUUCCUACUUUAUUUACAGAGAAGUGUUUAUAUUCCUACAUAAUAUAGUCUCCUCAUUAUAAUAACAAUCCCAUGGAAUUAACGGGUAAAGGAAAUAAGAAAACUGCUCACGACUGUAUUAUCCUAACAGUCAAUGUUAUUAGCUGUGUUUUCAGUUUUCCUACAUUCUAGCCUUAGCUGUCUUCAAGGCAGCAUUUUAUGGAGCUCAGGUUGCUUUGGAGUUGAACUCACCAGCUCACUAAAGCUGACCUUGGGCUUCCGACUCUCCUCUUUCCACCACUUAGCUGUAUGCAUAGAAGGCCUUGGCAGCUAACCUGCGUCCCCUCCCUCACGUUUUACUCAUCAUAAACACAUUUAUCAUAAUUAAGGUGCUCAACCAUUAGGAAAAUGUAAUAAUUGACAAAAGUCGAGAGAGAAAUAAACAGUUACACAGACAUCUGUUGUCUGGUUGGUUUGUCUUGUUUUUUCUUAUUAAUCUGCUCAAUUGCUCAAUUCCUCAUUGUAUGUAUAGCAUGGAUGCCUCCCGAAACAUAAAAAGGAUCUAUACAGAAGAUACAAAAAUGGUCAAAACCACAGUCCCAUAAUGUGCAUUUAAUUUUCCAAAGAUUUAAUCGGUGUAAUUUCCUAUAAUCUUAAAGUGAUGGAAAAGAAAUAAAGCAUCAUCAAUUUCACAUCACAGGCCAUGUAGUGUGUGACACUUCACACUAGGCCACUGCAUCAUGCCUAGAAUGAGUCACCCGUCUCACGUGUGUACCCAAGCACUUUCUAUGUUAAUCACAGUUACUCAAUGUCUUCUCAGUUACCAACUGUCACUGUACCACAGCACUUGUUCACGCUCCUCACUUCAUAGCACAAACAUAGCUUACAAACUGUGAGCACCAUGGUCUGACGCUUUAGACAUGCAGGCACCAGCCACAUGGUACUUCCUCUGAGUGAAAAAGUCAGAGUACGAUACAAAGUAUAAUCUUAUUACAUAUUUUAUUGAUUAUUUGGGAAUUUCACAUCAUGUGCCCCUAUCAUACUCACUUCCCAGUCUUCCUAGGCCCACCCUAACCUUAAGACCUCCCAACCCCCCCCCCCCCCAAAAG